GACGAACGCUGGCGGCGUGCUUAACACAUGCAAGUCGAGCGGAAAAGCCUCUUCGGGGGUACUCGAGCGGCGAACGGGUGAGUAACACGUGAGUAAUCUGCCUCUGGCUUCGGGAUAGCCACCGGAAACGGUGAUUAAUACCGGAUACGACACAUCACUGCAUGGUGCGUGUGUGGAAAGUUUUUUCGGCCAGGGAUGUGCUCGCGGCCUAUCAGCUUGUUGGUGGGGUAAUGGCCUACCAAGGCUUCGACGGGUAGCCGGCCUGAGAGGGUGACCGGCCACACUGGGACUGAGACACGGCCCAGACUCCUACGGGAGGCAGCAGUGGGGAAUAUUGGACAAUGGGCGGAAGCCUGAUCCAGCAACGCCGCGUGAGGGAUGACGGCCUUCGGGUUGUAAACCUCUUUCAGCACAGACGAAGCGCAAGUGACGGUAUGUGCAGAAGAAGGACCGGCCAACUACGUGCCAGCCGCCGCGGUAAGAC
rnacentral:rRNA from 1 species